rnacentral:sRNA from 1 species
AAGAAAAUUUUGCCGAAUUUCUGUUUAGGAAAACGGGGGAUCCAUAACCGGGUGAAUUGAUCUCGACAAACAACGUCAGUGAUCAUAGGGAACCUUCAACCGAACCCUUCAGCUAACCUCGUAGGCACCGGAAGGGGAAACU